rnacentral:rRNA from 1 species
UGCGAAGGGUGCAAGCGUUACUCGGAAUUACUGGGCGUAAAGCGUGCGUAGGUGGUUUGUUAAGUCUGUUGUGAAAGCCCCGGGCUCAACCUGGGAAUGGCAAUGGAUACUGGCAAGCUAGAGUGCGGUAGAGGGUAGUGGAAUUCCCGGUGUAGCGGUGAAAUGCGUAGAGAUCGGGAGGAACACCAGUGGCGAAGGCGGCUACCUGGACCAGCACUGACACUGAGGCACGAAAGCGUGGGGAGCAAACAGG